rnacentral:rRNA from 1 species
AACGAACGCUGGCGGCAGGCCUAACACAUGCAAGUCGAACGAACCUUCGGGUUAGUGGCGCACGGGUGCGUAACGCGUGGGAAUGUACACCUUGGUAAGGAAUAACUGCUGGAAACGGUAGCUAAUACCUUAUAAUGACUUCGGUCCAAAGAUUUAUCGCCAAGGAAUCAGCCCGCGUUAGAUUAGCUAGUUGGUGAGGUAAUGGCUCACCAAGGCGACGAUCUAUAGCUGGUCUGAGAGGAUGAUCAGCCACACUGGAACUGAGACACGGUCCAGACUCCUACGGGAGGCAGCAGUGAGGAAUAUUGGACAAUGGACGCAAGUCUGAUCCAGCCAUGCCGCGUGAGUGAAGAAGGCCUUAGGGUUGUAAAGCUCUUUCAAUAGUGAAGAUAAUGACGGUAGCUAUAGAAGAAGCUCCGGCUAAAUUCGUGCCAGCAGCCGCGGUAAUAC